rnacentral:rRNA from 1 species
GACGAACGCUGGCGGCGUGCCUAAUACAUGCAAGUCGAACGAGAGCGCCCGGUGCUUGCACUGGUCACUCUAGUGGCGAACGGGUGAGUAACACGUGGGUAACCUGCCCAUCAGAGGGGGAUAACAUCCGGAAACGGAUGCUAACACCGCAUAGGUCUUCGCACCGCAUGGUUUGAAGAGGAAAAGAGGCGCAAGCUUCUGCUGAUGGAUGGACCCGCGGUGCAUUAGCUAGUUGGUGAGGUCACGGCUCACCAAGGCCGGGAUGCAUAGCCGACCUGAGAGGGUGAUCGGCCACAUUGGGACUGAGACACGGCCCAAACUCCUACGGGAGGCAGCAGUAGGGAAUCUUCCGCAAUGGACGCAAGUCUGACGGAGCAACGCCGCGUGAGUGAAGAAGGUUUUCGGAUCGUAAAACUCUGUUGUUAGAGAAGAACAAGUGCUAGAGUAACUGUUAGCGCCUUGACGGUAUCUAACCAGAAAGCCACGGCUAACUACGUG